CCCAAAAAUAUUGAUUUACCGCUUCUCUCUCUUUCCUGUUCUCUGGUUACUGCUCCACCCAAAUUCAUUUUCCCGCUUAUCUCUUUUCCCCUCUCUGGUUUCUCUCCUUCCUCUCUCGUUGGUUCUGUUCUGGACGCGAAAUUCGAAAGUCACAACAUUCACUACACAGAUCGCACUGUUUUCCCUCACCGUCGCGGCGCCACUGCUGUUCCCCCACCGCCUCGUCGUUUCUGUCCCCCCACCGCCGUGUCGUUUCUGUCCCCCCACCGCCACGUCGUUUCUAUUCCCCCUCUUUUUGGAUUGACUAAUUUCGAUUGUUUGAGCUUUUUUGCUGCUAUUGUUAUCAAUAAAUUUAUAGAUUUUCUCUAUCAUAUUAUAGAGCUAUUUGGGUUUAAAUUGGGUCCGCCGCAGCCGAGCCAUGGUGUUGGAUUGCUUUACUUUAUCGCGUUCUCUCUCCUCAGAUCAUCAAUAUUUUGCCUUGAUUUUCACUGUUGGAGAAAGAACGAAGAUGAUGAUGAUGAAAAACCCCGCUUCAAAAAGAUCGUUUUCGCUUUGUCGCCAUUUCCAUUGUUGACUUUGUAGUUUCAUUGACCAUUACCACCAAUCCCUGGAGGCUCAUUAUUCUCUUUGACUAUUUCCACAUCAUUGGGAGCUGCAAAGUUGAUAUGUGUCUGCACUGUUGAAACUGCUACUUGAGGUGGUGAUGAUCUCCUCGCUAUUUUAUUUUCAGUGGCGGUGUUGAAAAAUCUCAAGAAACAAUGGAAAAACACGCCGCCCAACUGGACCAGACAUGAUCCAUGUGGUGAAAAAUGGGAUGGCAUUUCCUGCAACGGCUCGCAUGUGACUGAUAUGUUAGUCUGCUAAUAAACUUAUUAUCAGGUAUAAAUCUGACAGGUCCAUUGCUUGAAGAAAUUGUGUCUUUGUCUGAGCUGCAGAGACUGUAAGUUGUACUAAUAUAACGUUGCUAUUGAAAGGUCCAUUCUCUGUCUUAUGCACUCCUUGGGGAUUCACAUCAUUUUUUGUUGCUCCUCUUUCCUAGUUUCUUUCUAAUAUGCGUUCAUGAUUCAUUUUCUGGCUGCCUGGAUGGAAGGACAUGGUAGUUUUUAUUUUGUUUGUAUCCCUCCUUUUGUACAUGUGACUCCGCUAUGAUGUCCCGAUAAUGGUAUUCUUAUAUUUCUUGUCAUUCUUCUCUACAACUUAGAUGAUACUUAGCUGAUAAAAUUAUGUUCGUGUAGUUGUUGACAUAUUGCUCUCGAGGGACGAGAUGGAAACAUUUACUUGUUUUCUUAUGACGUGUGGUUUGUUCUACUGGUUUUUUCUUAGUGGACGGACAUUCAUCUCAUCUACUGCAUGGCUUCUGUUGCUGGCCAUAAAAUUUAUUAGGUUUUUUCUUAGGUUUAAACUGAUGACAUAAAAUGUAUAAAACCUCAAUGGAAACAUAAUCUACAGACUAAAAGCAGUUUUCAGGUCCGCGACUAAAGAUCCUAGAUCCUAACGAAAGUUCUAGACAUGCACAAGUUGGAGCCGAUAAAACUAAAUGAGCAGGAGCAACUGCAUUUCAUGGUCGAGCUCUCUUGUUGCUGCUACAAGAUGGGCAUUUGUAAUGCUUGAUGUGCUCAGCUCUGGCAGAGGUGUGAUCUUCACACAUUUGCCGUGGAACCACGUUUCACAAAUGUCGCAGCAAAUCCAGAACUCAUCUGAUGCAUAGGAUUCUGCACAUGCCCCACAUAAGAUCUGCAACAACCAUAUAUUACAUGGUUUCUAAACAAGGUUGUAGCAGCGAAUGACGAAGCUUGAAAGUAAGCAGGUCUGAGAACUAAACGACACUGUGAAUUCUUCAUCCUUUAAAGGUGUGCAAGAUACAAUUGGAGACAUUUUUGUUCAAGAUUGGAAUGCUUAAUGACGUAAAAAUUCCAAUUUUUAUUUUAUUUCAGAAGUAGUAUAUUGAUACUUGUAUAGAAAUAGCUUAAUAGACACUAGAUUGGUUCAUAUAUAUGACGAUUGUAUGUAUAUUGUUCUAUAUACGAAGUAUAAGAAAUAUAUGUUGGAGUACUUUGCCAAUAAAAUUUUCAUUUGUGUAUA